rnacentral:lncRNA from 1 species
AUGAGCCUGGCCCCCGCCCCCUCCCGGGCAGGCUGGGACUCUGGGCCCGGCCGGGUGCCCUCUCCCACUAGUCUCCGCGGCCCCCUGGGCAGGGCAGAACGCGUCUCGGGCCUGCCUCGGGAGGGGGCGGCGGAGCUGAAAAUCGCCGCGAAGCAAGGUGGCCAGGAAGGCUCGUCAGAGGAUGCGGUUCCCAGCCCCAGUACCUCUGCCGGGCCGCGGCGGCUCCUGCUGGGGUCACUUCCCAAGCAGCCUAGAGAGAGCGCCCGUUCAGGCACCCAAACCCCGGCCCGCUGGGCACCUUACCCUCCCCACUUUUAUUUUCGGCUUCCAAGUUUCUUGGAGCGCAGGGAGGCAGGAUGGGACCGGACGAGUCCUAACCCGCCCCUCCUUCAGCACCCUUUCCCUCCGCGCGCUCCCCAAUACGUCCCCUUCCCCUGGGUCUGGUUCGAGGAUUCCUUAGCGGCAACUACCGAGGAGUUGAAAGGUGUGCAGGUGUGUGGGUGGGCAGGGGGCGCGCACCCACGCCCCAGAGGAGCGGAUUGGCAAACGUGUUGGGGAGGGAGCCGGGAGGUCUGCGCUCCCAACCCACCUCGGGACCUACGGGGACCCCCAGUGCCUUCCGCCACUACACAGACACACGCCCCCUACGAGCAGCGGCCGCGCGGGCGGGGUGGAGAGGGCAAACGGGAGGCUGGGGUCCCUUUUCACAUCCGGAGGUGGCAUACGGUGUAUCUGGGGUCUGAGGAGGCGGCCAGACCGUCUCCUAGAACCCGAAGCCUUCCAUUUCUUGGCGACCCCCGCCCCCGCGGAGGCAGCGAGGGAGGUCGAGGGAGAGAGCCGCUCCCUCACCACCGCAGGCGGCAGCGAAACUCUGCGUCCGGACGCCCGAGUGCCGCCGGGUCCUGCUUUGAGUACCCGAGCAAGGUCAAGCAGGCGAAGGAGGGGGCGGGGGCUCCUGGGCGCGCCCCCGCCCGUGCAGAGUCGGGGCCUUGGGAGGGGGUGUGGGCCGCCCACCGAGUCAGCCCCGAGAGCCCGCUGCCCGCGCCCGGUCCCCGGAGGCGGACGCUGCGCGCGUUCCGGGAUCCCGGAGCGCCCCGCGCCCGGCCCGGCGCCCUUCCUCCCGGCUAG